rnacentral:rRNA from 1 species
GACGAACGCUGGCGGCGUGCUUAACACAUGCAAGUCGAACGAUGAAGCCGGAGCUUGCUCUGGUGAAUUAGUGGCGAACGGGUGAGUAACACGUGAGUAACCUGCCCUUGACUCUGGGAUAACUGCGGGAAACUGUAGCUAAUACCGGAUACGACCCUCGGAGGCAUCUCCUGGGGGUGGAAAGAAUUUCGGUCAAGGAUGGACUCGCGGCCUAUCAGCUAGUUGGUGAGGUAACGGCUCACCAAGGCGACGACGGGUAGCCGGCCUGAGAGGGUGACCGGCCACACUGGGACUGAGACACGGCCCAGACUCCUACGGGAGGCAGCAGUGGGGAAUAUUGCACAAUGGGCGCAAGCCUGAUGCAGCAACGCCGCGUGAGGGAUGACGGCCUUCGGGUUGUAAACCUCUUAGCAGGGAAGAAGCGAAAGUGACGGUACCUGCAGAAAAAGCACCGGCUAACUACGUGCCAGCCGCCGCCGUAA